UAGGGAAUCUUCCACAAUGGACGCAAGUCUGAUGGAGCAACGCCGCGUGAGUGAAGAAGGGUCUUCGGAUCGUAAAACUCUGUUGUUAGAGAAGAACACGAGUGAGAGUAACUGUUCAUUCGAUGACGGUAUCUAACCAGCAAGUCACGGCUAACUACGUGCCA
rnacentral:rRNA from 1 species